rnacentral:rRNA from 1 species
CUAAGAAUAUUCCGCAAUGGACGGAAGUCUGACGGAGCGACGCCGCGUGGAUGACGAAGGCCGAAAGGUUGUAAAGUUCUUUUGCUGGGGAAGGAUAACCGCAGGAGGGAAUGCCUGUGGGAUGACAAGAACCGGCGAAUAAGCCCCGGCCAACUACGUGCCAGCAGCCGCGGUAACACGUAGGGGGCGAGCGUUGUUCGGAAUUACUGGGCGUAAAGGGCAUGUAGGCGGCUUGGAAAGCCUGGCGUGAAAGUCUGCAGCUUAACUGCAGGGGUGCGCUGGGAACUGCUGAGCUUGAGUGACGGAGAGGGAGCUGGAAUUCCUGGUGUAGGGGUGAAAUCUGUAGAUAUCAGGAAGAACACCGAUGGCGAAGGCAAGCUCCUGGCCGAUGACUGACGCUGAGGUGCGAAAGUGUGGGGAUCAAACAGGAUUAGAUACCCUGGUAGUCCACACAGUCAACGAUGUGCACUAGGUGCUGGGGCGGUAGCUUCGGUGCCGGAGCGAACGUGGUAAGUGCACCGCCUGGGGAGUAUGCUCGCAAGGGUGAAA